AAGAGCUACAGUUUACCCGUGUUUAGGAUAUUGUGCGUGGGCUCUGGGUUGCUAGCCGGUUUGAGGGUGCAUUUUGUCUCGACCAAUCCUGCGAGGUGCUCUAGGUCCCGGCAUGCCCAAUGCGGGCAGGGGGAGGCUCCGGCCAAUUUGAAUGAAGACUCGAGCUUUCGGCGCCAUUUUCGAGUGAGCAGCUCCAGCAACAACAGCUGCACAGAGAGCUCCGCACCGGAGUCCUGUAAUUUGAAUGAGGGGACACUAUUUUCUUUUUGAUACCAGAGAACAAAUAUAUGUUUUUUUUUAAUAUUCGACCACAAAUUUGAGCCGUCUGUUUUCCGGUGGAUGAAUGCGAUGGACACAAAGGAUGUCCACAAAGGAUGUGGUGACAACAAAUAGUGAAGUGGAGACUGAAGUGAGCUAGGAGGCUAAUCCGGCUAGCAUCUCCAGCCGAGAAUGGGCGUCCGAUCGGAGCCGCGCUUUGGAAACGAUAUAUUUUUUGUAUUAUUUUUCGAAAAAAUCUAACAAAUAUGCGGAUUACUUGAAAAUUCUUGAAAAAAAUCGGAAAAUUAUUACAGGGGACGACGAAUAGAUCGGUGUGGGUUGUUUGGUGGAGCGAGGUGGUUUUUGUGCAUUUUUUAAACGUUAAGUUUGAGCGGGAUUGGUGAUGUGCGCGAGACGGCCGGCGAGCCCGACAGCCUAUCAGCGAGCGAGACACCGGGAUGCCACACCGACCGACUCUCUCCUGUUCUUUACUACAGUUUUUGUUCCUCUUUGUACAAGAAAGCAACGAUGACCAAAGUGCCCUUUAUUUCUUCCGUUUCUUUUUUCUUUUUUUGCUGCACGAACUGUAUCUGAGUGCACCGUCAGAAUAUGGAACCGUAACUUUUUGUUUCUAAUUUUUUGUGGAUUUACAAUAUCACAAAUGUUCAGGUGUUUUAGUUUUUCUUCCCAGGAGUUGAUCCUGCCUGGGACCGUAGGGAAACCCCCACAAAAUUUGCCUGGUUGUGACAUCAGAAACCUUGAAAACAAUUGAAGAUGGAGCCCUGGAAUGCCUCAAGCCCUGCUGAGAGAGAGAGAGGAGAGAGGAGUCACUCGCUCUGUGAUUCUGGCAGUGCUUGGUCAUGUUGCCGAGAGUGUGAGUGUGUGAAAGAGAGAGAGGGACCCUUUCUAGGUGAUGGUGUAGCAGCACAGAAUGGUUUGUGGUGAUACAGAGAUACAGGCCGUGAUGUGCUGCAGCAUCAAUUCCUGGGACAUACGCAGUCGAGAGCGAGAGAAGAGAAAGAUUGUGGGUGUGUGAAUGUGUGUGUUUUGCUUUAGCAGCAUGUAAAUAUUGGAGUUACUCCUUGGCCAAAGCCUCCAAUAUUGCUCGUGCUGCUGAAGCAAGAAGUCACCAAGCAGCACAUGCACGUCAUCAUUUUAGGGCCUAGCUGGGACAGGUAGAGUCUGACUCUGGUGCUGAAAUCAUCAAAUCAACAGAAGUCAGGAGGACCCUCAGUCCAAUGAUUAAAGGUAAAAUAGAUGCAGUACUUUGUUUUGUUUGGGAAGUAAAGUAGCUUUUUUAAAUGAAUGUUUUUUCUUAAUGUUUAUACAAAAGUUUGCUUUUUACUGUUUGUUUUCUUCAAUAUGUAAAAAUAUAAAUUUAUACGUA